GAGAAAUUAAAUAAGUGCGUAUGGGGGAUGCCUUGGCUCUUAUUGGCGAAGAAGGACGUGACAAGCUGCGAAAAGGCACGGUAAGGAGCAAAUAUCCGCUGACCCGUGCAUCUCCGAAUGGGACAACCCGGUGCAUUGAAGAUGCAUCAUUCUGUUGAAUAAACGGAAAGCGAACGCAGGGAACUGAAACAUCUAAGUACCUGCAGGAAAAUAAAAUAACAAUGAUUCCGCAAGUAGUGGCGAGCGAACGCGGAGCAGCCCAAACCAUAUACGUUACGGCGUUUAUGGGGUUGAAGGACUGCGAGAUACGUAAAAAUUAUAUAGAAGAAUGUUUUGGAAAAAACAGCCGCAGAGUGUGAAAGCCGCGUAUUUGAAAUAUAAUUGAACGUUAGCAGUAUCCUGAGUAAGGCGGGACCAGAGAAAUCCUGUCUGAAACUGCCGGUACCAUCCGGUAAGGCUAAAUACACAUAAGAGACCGAUAGUGAACCAGUACCGUGAGGGAAAGGUGAAAAGUACCGUGAACAACGGGGUGCAAUAGAACCUGAAACCGUGCGCAUACAAGCGGUCGGAGCGGAAAUAUUCCGUGACGGCGUGCCUUUUGCAUAAUGAGCCUACGAGUUACAAUUGAUAGCGAGGUUAAGUGCUGGAAGCACGCAGCCGGAGCGAAAGCGAGUCUGAAGAGGGCGUAUAGUUAUUGGUUGUAGACGCGAAACUUUGUGAUCUACCCUUGAGCAGGUUGAAGGUUGGGUAACACUAACUGGAGGACCGAACUGUCUGACGUUGAAAAGUCUCCGGAUGACUUGAGGGUAGGGGUGAAAGGCUAAUCAAACUGAGAGAUAGCUCGUACUCCCCGAAAUGUUUUUAGGAACAGCCUUGUGGAGAGUAUUGUAGAGGUAGAGCUACUGAUAGGAUGCGGGGGUUUCAACGCCUACCAAAUCCUGACAAACUCCGAAUGCUACAAUAUAUACACAGGAGUGAGCGCGCGGGUGCUAAUGUCCACGCGCGAGAGGGAAAGAACCCGGACUGCCAGCUAAGGUCCCGAAAUGAUAGUUAAGUUGAAAAAACGAGGUUCGAUUGCAUAGACAGCUAGGAUGUUGGCUUGGAAGCAGCCAUACAUUUAAAGAGUGCGUAACAGCUCACUAGUCGAGCGAUUGAGCGUGGAUAAUAAACGGGCAUCAAACUAUCUACCGAAGCUACAGACUGACAUAUAGUUAUGUCAUUGGUAGGGGAGCAAUCUUAACAGCGCUGAAGGUAAAGAGAUAACUCAUACUGGAGCGUUAAGAUAAGCAGAUGUAGGCAUAAGUAACGAUAAUGCGGGCGAGAAACCCGCACUCCGAAAGACCAAGGUUUCCUGAUCAACGCUAAUCGGAUCAGGGUAAGUCGGGUCCUAAGGCGCAACCGAAAGGUGCAGUCGAUGGACAGCCGGUUAAUAUUCCGGCACUUGCACAAGAGUGAAGUAAGGACGGAGGAAGCAGCCAACUGCGUACUGACGGAAUAGUACGUUGAAGAGGGUAGCCGUAGAUCCAGCAGGCAAAUCCGCUGGUGAGGUGAACUUGAUAGUACCGCGAGGCUUCGGCUGAGUGGAUAAUGUUGGUGGGCUAUACUUCCAAGAAAAAUUGCUAACGCUAAUCGAAAUGCAACCCGUACCGUAAACCGACACAGGUGGUCGAGGAUAGUAUCCAAAGGAGCUCGAGUGAUUCAUGGCUAAGGAACUAGGCAAAUUAACCCCGUAACUUCGGGAAAAGGGGUACUCAAGCAAUUGAGUCGCAGAGAAAUGGCCCUGGCGACUGUUUAACAAAAACACAUGGCUUUGCAAAAUCGCAAGAUGAAGUAUAAGGCCUGACACCUGCCCGGUGCUGGAAGGUUAAGAGGAGAUGUCAUCGCAAGAGAAGCAUUGAAUUGAAGCCCCAGUAAACGGCGGCCGUAACUAUAACGGUCCUAAGGUAGCG
rnacentral:rRNA from 1 species